rnacentral:misc_RNA from 1 species
AAAAAAAAAAAAUAAAAAAAAGAAUAAAAAAUAUAUUUUAGGGAUAAUUAUCCCCCCUAACCGGUUGGUUAGAGGGAUAAAUAUCUUCCAUUUAUCUACUAUAUUUUUUUAGAUAUAAUUUUGAAAUUAUCCGAGGGAUAAUUAUCACUCAUGAUCAGUUGGUUAGAGAAACAAUUAUUUCCUAUUUAUUUUAACUCCAUUUUUUUUGUUGAUAGGUUUUGAGAUGAUUUCUUUUACUAUAAAUACCCUUACCUAGAUCACAUAAGGGAAGACAAAAAUUCCUCCAUAAUCUACUAGAGCACUCUAGUGAGAUUCUAAAUUAAUUGGAAGACUAUCUCUUGUGCUAUAAGAACUACAAUUCUCCAUCUUUUUACAAAAAUUAUUAUAACUAAUUUUCAAAUUUAGGUUUGACCAAAAUCACAUCUCCAUCACUCCUAAACAUAUUACCAUCAUUUGGAGGUAUUCCGAAGUGCUCUAAGAGUCUUCUAAUCCAAGAAUUGAAGACCAA